GGUGUGGGCUCACGAGCCCCACCCCCACCAGGACCCACUGGCAGUUAACUGUAGCUGGGGAGAAGGGCUCAUGUGUCUCCACCUCUCCCUGAGGAUCUAUAGACAGUUGAUGCUGGCUGGGGAAGGAGAGGCAGUUUCGUCAGUGGUACAGCCACUGGAUUUCCUGAGCUCCAAGGGAGGACCCACAUAGUGUCUGGCUGUGGGUCUCUGUGUCUGUUCCCAUUGGCUGCUGGAGGAAGCUUCUCUGAUGAUGACUGGAUAAGGUAGUAUCCGUGAAAGGCUUUGAGCAGAAGAGGAAGGUCACUUGCAUCUCUGUGUCUGCUCAGCUGCCCAAACUCAGACUCCACAGCCUCAGGAUCAUUGAUCAGGAACAUUGGAUCCUUAAGAAGUAUAAACUAGACUUGUAAAGAGGAGAAUACUGAGUCUAAAUUUUAUUGUUCCACUCUCAACCCUACAACCAUCCAUCCAUAUCCCUGAGAAAAAUGAAACAUUUGGGAGAGGAGCAUCCUUUUCUUAGAAUUACUUCCUGCUGUCUAGGGGGUGAUGGUAUCUCUGUGGGGUCCUGUAAGAAAGCUUAGAUUUUUUAGGUCUCAAUAGGGCUAGUGGUAGAGUCUGAAGCCAGUCUCAGUAAUGGAUUAGAUUUUUCUGAGAUUCUGGCUAGAAGUGUAGUAUGAUGGAAUAUCUCAUCCAUUGGAACUGUCCUGAAGAGUUUUCAAUGCAAAGCUGAUCAUUGAGUAAUGUUAUUAGGUACCAUGGCACCUUUCUGGAUUGAGUAGAGUCAUUGUUGUGGGGCCCCAUCUUCCUUCUGGAGAUGUCAGAGAUUGCUAUUGGGAAGACUUAUUUUCACUGUGGAAAACUUGAACGUUAUUAAUAUCAAAAUGGAAAGUUUGGAUUUAAAGAUGACAUGACAUGUGAGGAAGGAUUCUGAGAAAUCAAGAAUAAGCAUGGAGGGAAAUACAAUCUUGAUAACAAUGGUCCUUAGAUUAUUGUUUUUCUUCUGUUUCACACUAGUUAGCUCUUCUGAUAUAAGACAGAAUCUCUUAAUUUUUUCUUUUAACAACAUAUUUGGGUUUAGAGAAUGAGAGAGCCACAUUUCAACUCCAAAGCCAGCUUGAUUUAUAAUUGAACCAAGACCACAACUAUUCUACAGUUAAAGAGAUAUUGAUAUUAGGCAGUGAGAUAUUACCCUGUAGAGUAUAUUGGUACCAAUAAAUUCUUCGCUUCUGCUGUAAA